ACACGAGUAGUAUACCGCGAGAGAAUAUAUGCAUUGCAUUGAAUUGGGCAUUGUAACAGAAGAUACUCUAGCAUGUCACGGCAAAUAUUUCAGUACUAAUCUACUUUUCAUCAUCAUCAUUAUAAUUUAUAUGUACAGCAACGGGUAAAACUAUUUUGUGUAGAAAGUUUCAUAUUAUUUUGUAAUGUUGGACAUAAAUAUCUUCCUGGACUGCCACCUGGAUUAUCCAAGGACGGUUCUAGUAGCAAGAAACAUCAAUAUUAUAAGAGAAAAUGCAAUUUAAAGAUGGAGCGACUCCAAUAGACAUUAAACCUAUACAUUUUGAAUGUUUAAUUAUCAACUUAACAAUUCUGACUUUCAUAAUCCCAAGUGCAUUCAAUCUAAAGUCACACUUAAAUCAUCAAGUUCAACCUAAACGCACUUCUACAUUUCAUUUCAAAAUCAAUAAGUCAAGACAGGGAUUUUUAUCAAGCAGCAUGGCAGAGAAGGGAAGCGAGGUUAUCCCCAGCAUCAAAAGCUUGCAGAGUGACACCGGAGAAUCAGAAGCUCAACCUGGUUCAGUUGGAUCGUUUCAAGGGGCAUCACCACCUCCAUCAUAUCUGGAAUUGCCAGGAUACCCCCGAACUAUCUUUAAAAAUGCCCCAUCAGACAAUUAUCUUUGUGGAAUUUGCAACCAGGUAGCACGGUGGCCAGUACAGACAGACUGUGCAUGUGGAUUAUUUUGUCAUGGAUGUUUACAAAGAUAUAUAGGUGAUGAAACAGGAACACUCGAGUGUCCCAGAUGUCAAGAGACAUUUCCAGUUAAUGAGAUACAGAGAGACAAAGUUGCCCAUAAAAAAUUACUGAAGUUAGAUAUAGAAUGCCCUCAUGGGUGUGGAACGGAGAUGCUAUUAAGAGACUUGGACAAGCAUGAAGAAGAAUGUCAAUUUGUGAUAAUAGAGUGCAUUAAUAAACAACAAGGAUGCAAAGCACUUAUUAAGAGGAUUGAUCUAGUAAACCACCUAGAAAAGCAAUGUGACUUUCGGAAAGUAUCUUGUCAACACUGUAGGAAUCAGUUUCUCGCUCGAGAGUUAGAGGUGAGUGCAUGGAGUCUACCCUACAUUUAUUUUCUUAUUAGCAAAUGAUCGUUAUGCUUGGCAGUUUUUUGUUGUUAUUGCAGCAGGGUUUGUCAAAUCAUUUAUUUCAGUCAGCAUUUUAUAUGUACCUCUUUGGUUGCUGAGUCAUGGGUCAAGAUGAUGCUCCCUGCUUCCACUUUCUGCCUUGAGUAUCCUCCUCAUUCAGAUCAACCUUACCACUUUCCUUCUUCACCAUAUCUUUCCAUGUAAUCUUUGGUCUGACUUCCCUUUCCUUUUCCUCCUAUGUCAUCCACUUCCAGAUCCCAUGCUCGUUUUACAGGUUCAUCAAUCAUCAUGCUUCCUCCUCAAGGGUUUGUUGAAAUCAUGUUGAUUUAAAUUACCUUGAUUUUGAGCUCAUCCGGCCCUUAUGCCGUGGCGUGGCGUCCGUCGUCCGUCCACAAUUUCAAAAUGAUUCUUCUUCGCCGUUUCAAGUCCGAUUUCAAUUCUGUUUGCUUUAUAUGAUAGCACUAGGUGGGGGAUUCAAAACUUCUACACAGAAUUUUGAAAUUCAUUAAAUAUGCUAAUAUAUGCGCAUUUUUCAAAAUUCACAAAAAAUGCUUCUUUAUUUGUUGACCAAUUUUGAAUUUUUUGCUUCCAUCUGGGAGAGCUUCAUGAGGUUUACCAAACUUCUACACAGAAUUUUGAAAUUUUGACUAGAACAAUUUUUAUGCUAAUUUAUGUGAAAUUAAUUUAUGCAUAUUCUAAAAAAUUCACAUAAAAUGCUUCUUCUGUAUUUGUUGACUGAUUUUGAUUUUUACUUCCAUCUGGUAGAGCUUCAUAAGGUUCACCAAACUUCCACACACAAUUUUUAAAUUUGUAGUAGAAAAUUAUUUAUGCUAAUUUGUGCGAAAUUCAUAAAUCACAGAAAAUGCCUCUUCUUUAUUUGUUGACUGAAUUUCAAAAUGCUUCUUCUUCGUCACUUCAAGUCUGAUUUCAAUUCUGUUUGCUUUAUAUGAUAGCAUUAGGUGGGGGAUUCAAAAUUUCUACACAUAAUUUUGAAACUCAUUAAAUAUGCUAAUUUAUGCAUAUUUUUAAAAAUUCACAUAAAAUGCUUCUUUAAUUGUUGACCGUUUUUGAUUUUUUUUCUUCCAUCUGGUAGAACUUCAUGAGGUUCACCAAACUUUUACACAGAAUUUGGAAAUUUUCAGUAGAAAAUUAUUUAUGCUAAUUUAUGCGAAAUUUAUUCAUAAAUCACAAAAAAUGCCUCUUCUUCUUUAUUUGUUGACCAAUUUUGAUUUUUUUUCUUCCAUCUGGUAGAGCUGCAUGAGGUUCACCAAACUUGUACACAAAAUUUUGAAAUUUUGUCUAGAAAAUUAUUUAUGCUAAUUAUGCAAAAUUUAUUCAUAAAUCACAAAAAAAAAGUUUGUCUUCUUCAUUUGUUGAUCAAUUUCAAUUUUGUUUGCUUUAUAUGAUAGCAUUAGGUGGGGGAUUAAAAAUUUCUACACAGAAUUUUGAAACUCAUUAAAUAUGCUAAUUUAUGCAUAUUUUUAAUGCUUCUUCUUUAAUUGUUGACCGUUUUUUUUUUUUUUCUUCCAUCUGGUAGAACUUCACGAGGUUCACCAAACUUUUACACAGAAUUUUGAAAUUUUCAGUAGAAAAUUAUUUAUGCUUAAUUUAUAUGAAAUUUAUUCAUAGAUCACAAAAAAUGCUUCUAUGUUAUUUUUUCAUUAAUUUCGAUUCUAUAUCCUCAAUUUAUGUCACCAAUAUAAUUCACUACAGUGUCAACUGGGCUGAAAUUAAAAUUGUGUUAAAUUUCGUUGCGAGAUGCCGGAUGAGCUCCACAUCAUUGAUGUGCUAGUUUAAGGAUAAAGAAGUUCUUAAUACACUAGUGUUUGUGCAUCUACAGCAUUUUCAGUUAUUCAAAUCCACU